rnacentral:ncRNA from 1 species
GAAAGAUGAAAAGCGCUUUGGAAAGAGAGUUAAACAAUAUGUGAAAUUGUUGAAAGGGAAAUGUUUGAAGUCAGUCACGUUAGCUGAGACUCAACCUGGGCUUCUGCUCAGUGCACUUCUUGGUUGACGGGUCAGCAUCAAUUUUGACUGCGAGAUAAAGGUUGGGGGAAUAUGGCAUCCUUUGUGAUGUGUUAUAGACCUUGAUUUGGAUACGGCAAUUGAGAUUGAGGAACUCGGCACUCUGCAUCUAGGAUGCUGGCAUAAUUCCUUUAAGUGACCCGUCUUGAAACACGG